rnacentral:rRNA from 1 species
CGUCUAUAUACGUAUAGCAUAUCAAUAAGCGGAGGAAAAGAAACUAACUAGGAUUCCCUCAGUAACGGCGAGUGAAGCGGGAAGAGCUCAAAUUUGAAAUCUUCAAGGUUCUACCUUGACGAAUUGUAGUUUAAAGAAGUGUUUUCUGUUGGAGUUUUGGUAAAAGUUCUUUGGAAUAGGACAUCAUAGAGGGUGAGAAUCCCGUAUUUGACCAUUAUUUCCAGCUUUGUGAUACACUUUCAAAGAGUCGGAUUGUUUGGGAAUGCAGUCCAAAAUGGGUGGUAAAUUUCAUCUAAAGCUAAAUAUUGGCGAGAGACCGAUAGCGAACAAGUACCGUGAGGGAAAGAUGAAAAGAACUUUGAAAAGAGAGUUAAACAGUACGUGAAAUUGUCAAAAGGGAAGCGUUUGACACCAGUGUUGUUUUUCCGAAAAUCAAUUAUAAAUGUUUUGUUUCUGAGGAGUGAUGACUUCAUCGGCUUCCUUCUCUCUUUACGAAACUUUUGUAAUGCACUUUUCGGUUAACAAGUCAACAUCAAUUUCUUUUGUUGUAAAAGAGUAUUCGGAAGGUGGCUUUCUUUUCGGAGAAAGUGUUUAUAGCCCUAUACUUCUACAAUCGGAGAGAUUGAGGUCUGCAGCGUAGAUCCUUCGGGGUUAGAUACACUUGUGCUAAGUUAUAGCUUUUCAUAGACAACUUGUUGACUAUGUUUAGUCUUGUAGCUUACUCGCUGACGCUAUUUUACCUACGCUUAGGAUGUUGACUGAUAUGUAGUCGU